UAGCCUUGGUCGUAGCCAUGACGGUUAUUCAGUUGGCCGCUGCACAAUUUUUACAAAAUGACGAUCAAUUCAUACCGAUAAAGAUGUAAAAAACCAUCACCACUACCACAAGAAAUGGAAAACCGACAUUCUACUCACAAGAAGGACUAUCACCAAUAAGAAAAAAAAAGAAAAACACUUUUUAACCUAAAUGUUGACUUAGCGCCUGAAGAUGUGUUUGAUGAACCAGAUUUAAUAAUUGUAAAGUAAAACUUUAAAUUCAUUGUGUCUACAUAAUAAACUCAUUAACAUUAUAA